AUCUUUUUAGUAUAAUUAGUACAGCCGACUUCCAAUCAGUUAGUUUCGAUAAUAUCGAAAAAGGAUA
rnacentral:tRNA from 1 species